rnacentral:rRNA from 1 species
CUACGUGCCAGCAGCCGCGGUAAUACGUAGGUCCCGAGCGUUGUCCGGAUUUAUUGGGCGUAAAGCGAGCGCAGGCGGUUAGAUAAGUCUGAAGUUAAAGGCUGUGGCUUAACCAUAGUACGCUUUGGAAACUGUUUAACUUGAGUGCAAGAGGGGAGAGUGGAAUUCCAUGUGUAGCGGUGAAAUGCGUAGAUAUAUGGAGGAACACCGGUGGCGAAAGCGGCUCUCUGGCUUGUAACUGACGCUGAGGCUCGAAAGCGUGGGGAGCAAACAGGAUUAGAUACCCUGGUAGUCCACGCCGUAAACGAUGAGUGCUAGGUGUUAGACCCUUUCCGGGGUUUAGUGCCGCAGCUAACGCAUUAAGCACUCCGCCUGGGGAGUACGACCGCAAGGUUGAAACUCAAAGGAAUUGACGGGGGCCCGCACAAGCGGUGGAGCAUGUGGUUUAAUUCGAUGCAACGCGAAGAACCUUACCUACUCUU